GCUCUGAGCAUAGCCCAGAGCCUGACACAGUGCUCCAUCCCACAACCCUGGGAUGUGACCUAAGCCAAAAGCAAGAGUCAGACACUCAACUGACUGAGCCACCCAGGCGCCCAUGUUUCUGUUUUCUUUUAACUAGUACGUAUAGUAGUUCUGGGAAGAAUUUACCUUGUAUUCACCCUCCCUUUCUUGUCUCUUGUCUGUCUGUUUUCUAGUAGCCUUCUUGAAGUUUUAGUAGGAAUUUGCACUUUUCAGUGAUGUAGACUUUAUUUCCUUUUGGUGUAUCUUUGUUCUUGGUUGGGUCUGGAUUCUACAUUCAAUCUAUCAAUUGCCUUUUGGGUUCUGCCACAACUAAAACUGGCUUGAAAGAAUGCUGUGCCUUGUGGUUGAAACAUCAAAAGGGUACAAAUAGCAAAUACCGCUGAGGUCUCUUCCUUCCUGUAGGAACCUCCCCACCAGAUGCUGCCUCAUGCUGUGAUGCUUAUAAUUCAUAAAACAGUGUCAUUAUUUGAGGCCUUAGGGGAAUUCUAAGGAGGGCUGGUGGGGGGAAACAAUUGUAGAAAGUUCUACAGUGAUUUUUUCCAUAUCUUCCAUUUGUAGAAUGUAGAAUGGUCUGCCAUUGCUUUUUUUGGUCUGAACAGUUUUGUUAUCCUCUAGCCGAGUGCAAAUCUCCAUAUGUAUAUGGGGACAUUGAGUGUCAGAGAAUUUCAUCAAUUCACCAACCCAUGAUGGAGUUACUGGGAGAUUUGGGAUUAGGAUAAAGUCUCCUGGCUGUUUGACAACUGCUCUUUUGUCCCACGUUUCCAAGUCCUGUUGAUUAGAAAAAGCAUUAGUAGAAGGCUCAAUGGUGAAAAUACACAAUAAUAAAUAUAUUUAAUUUAGGCUGUUUAAUAAAUUCAGUUCACGUUCUCUCUUAGCUAUGUACUGAAUUCAUAGCAUACUUUUUUUGUCAUUUAUCUUAUAUUUUUCCUGUGAAGCUUGAACCUGUUUAGGUGCUAGAACAGGGAUUCAUGAAUUGAGUUCUAGUUAUUUCCAUACUCUCCUCAUUUAGUCUCGAUUGGCUCAGAUGGUCCUUGACUUUUUUUCUUUUCAAAUAAUAUAUAAUCCAGAAGUUCCUUGCUCAAGGAUUUCACAGGGCAAAAGCUGAGGCAGCUACAUCAUCUAAGUGAGAAAGUGACUUUGGACAGUGAUGCUCAGAUUCAGUUACCUACUGCAUCGGGAUCACAGGGCACUUGUGCAAAUACAGGCUUCUCAGGUUCACUCCAGACCCUAAAAGUCCAUCUCUAGGAAGUGGAGCUCUGGCGUCCGCAUUUUAACAAAUGGCUCAGCUAAGAUGAACACAGAUACCCCUUGCUGUGUGACCAGAGUGGGAGAGGAAGAGUAUUGAGGGUGUCCUGUGCUGUCGUGAGAAUGAUGGAGGAAUGAAAACAGCUUCUGUAGAAAAAGUGAUAGUACAUCAGCCAGGGUUGGGUACAAAGCCUGGGCAGUUUUUAGAACUUUAGUUGGCUCUUGAGUUUUUCUCAUGGGGCCAGUCAGCAUGUUCAUGUGAAUUUUGCCAACAAAAUGAGAGGACAUGAGUGGGGCAGCUGGGUUCAGGGAUUGGCAUGUUGGCUCUGAGAAAGUCAAAGGAACAGGAACCGCCGGGUGAGCAUCGUUGACAUUGGAUGGCCUUGAGGUCCCAUCUUGGUAAGGAAGCUCAUGAAGCCUGGAUGAAGUGAGGUACAGGGAGAGUCAAGGAACUGCCUAUUAUGAUGUGGAUGAAGGGGAAGACUUGUAAGAAUGACAAGUGGAGAAGUGGGUAAAUGAAAAGCUCGAGAUUUGGAAGCCUAGAUAUUAAAGGUGAAGUAUUUCUGGAUUAGUUCAGGUCCAAGAUGGGGCCUUUGUGUAGCUCAAGUGGAAUGGAGGAGAAACCUUUCGAUGAAGGAGGGAGUCCUCCAGCUGUGCUUUGGGUUUUCCCAAGGGCCCCCACCUUCUUGAAGCCACCCAGCAGAGAUGAGCAUGGGAGGAACACAGUGAUUUUGGCAAUAAAAUAUCUUGGAGGUCAGGAGAUGAGUGAUGAGGUUAGGAAGUGAAACAGACGUGAGGUGGAGGUCUUGGAAUAGAGGUGUUAGGGCCUGGCCUGGGCAAAAGUCAUUUCAGCUGUAAUGGUGAUAAAUAACCCUUUCUUCCCUGGUUCUGUGAGUUAAGGAAAUUUGGGAAGCAAGCAGCCCUGGUUUGUGGGAAGUAGUAUCACAAAGGAAAAGUCAGAAUGCCAUUAAGACAAGCAGGUGGGGAAAGUGUAAACAAAAAGUUGAGAAUAUAAGAGUAUUACAUUUUUAAAACAGGUCAAGAGUUCCAGAGGCACAUCAGAAGGAAUUAGUAGGGGGGUGUCUGGGUACCUCAGUGGAUUAAGCGUCCCAACUUCGGCCCAGGUCAUGAUCUCUCAGUUUGUGAGUUCAAGCUCCACGUUAGGCUCUGUGCUGACAGUUUGGAGCCUGGAGCCUGCUUCGGAUUCUGUGUCUCCCUCUCUCUCUGCCCCUCCCUCACUCAUGUUCUAUCUCUCUCUCUCUCUCUCUCUCUCUCUCUCUCUCUCUCUGUCAAAAAUAAAUAAACGUAAAAAAAAAAAGAAGGAAUUAGUAGAUUCAGGGUAUGUAUGGGAGGACUGCUCAGUGGGACUCAGUGAGACAGAUGAAUGUAUCCAAAAGUGUGCUUAAGGGUCAGCCCUUGUUUCAGACCUUCGUAGGAGACUAAAACCACUGCAAAAGCAAGGUUAGAUUGAUUUGACAAUGGGCAGGCUCAUUAGAGAUCUUACGUUACUAAUUCAUUACUAAUUCGUUACUGUGACAUACACUUGAAGCGAGUAACUUUAAAAUCUUGUGACCCAGAGUAAAACAGGCUUAUAUCAUGCCCCCAGCUAGCCGUGUGAUGAUGUGUGCGUGUGUGUCUAACUAAACAUCAAAGAUUCACAGAGCAACACUUCACCUUUAAUACCUACAACACGCCCUGACAUUUACUGCUCUGUCCUAAUUCAUUUUCUCCGAAAAUGCUGGUCGUGACCCAUUGAUUCAUGAUGGAUGCAGGGUUCAGCCUGCUGCUGAACAGGCAUGCAUCUGCUAUCUUAAGCCUCUGUGGUAAUACUAGGCGCUGUUCCCUGGGCAUCCUGUGGAUGAAGAAUAUUCAUUUGCUUUUGUUGAUCAUAAUUAGAGCUUAUUGUAUGAUCAGGAAGAAGCCAGAAAGUCAUGUUUAAUCAAGGCUUUCGUACUUAAAAUCUUUACUGGCUCUACACCACCUACAGGACCGAACUGUACCUCCUUGUGUGUGUACCUCACACAAAGGGCCGCAAUUGUCUUACCCUUAUGAUGACUUUCUGUGGUUAAUCAUUCCCUCUUUGUCCUUUUCCCACUGCACUUACUACAGUUUAUGAUAAUCCUUAGUACAUGUUGGCCUUUCCUAGCUAUCAAGGAGCUCCUCAAGGUAGACCGUCUUCUCUCAGUACCUCCAGUGACUCACACACAGCCUGGCACAGAACACAAGUGGGUUGGUUUGGCUGAGCAAGUGCAGUGAUCUCCGAAGUCCUGCCUGCAGUUUCUUGUCCAGUAUGGCCUAGAGGGACCCUGUGAGGGGCACCAGUUCUCUCCAUUCAAUAGUUCUUGCUGAUCAUGGGUGAUUUUCACUUCUGAAUUGUGUGGGUCACUUUGGGGAACACAGAUCAGCCAACUGCUUUGACAUUUUAUUGUGGAAAUGGUGGUCCCAAAAUGGUAGUACUCACAUUCCAUAUAUAUUCUGUUACCCGCGAUAUUCAGUGGUACCCGUGUCAUGCCUCUCACAGUUUUGGAUAGUGUAGGACUGGGUGCUGUUCACUUUUCUAUUUUUUUUUUAAUUUUUUAAAGGUUUAUUUAUUUUGAGAGAAUGCAAGUGGGGGAGGGGCAGAGAGGGAGAGAAAGAGAAUCCCAAGCAGGCUCCACACUGGCGGAGGGCUCAAACUCACAAACCCGAAGAUCAUGACCUGAUCUGAAGUCAGACCCUUAACUGACUGAGCCACCCAGGUGCCCCAUCUUUCCAUUUUAGUGGGGCACUUUGGUGGCUGCUCUGUGUCUAUGGCCUAAUGGGAUAGGAAUUCUAAAGGACCUCUAUGUAGAUAGAACUGCCCACCCCUGAUGACGCAUUUUGCACAAUAAGUUGAAAUAGGCUUUUUGUGGAUCAGAACUGCCUAUGGUCUAACAUAUAUCAAUAAGAUAUAUUUAAGGAUGGAUUAGCAAAGGUUCAGCAGACUUAAAUGAUAAAUGCAGAUGCACAGAAGUCCAGUGGCUAAGUCAGACAAAAAUAAAUUCAUUUAUGUGAUAUAGACCUGUGUGUGUGUGUAUGUGUAUGUGUGUGUCUUUUGAGAAACACACAAAAACAGUAGAUGGCAUAUUAUUUUCUUGUUCCUGAUAUGCCUCCCAGGCUGGAUAUAGACAGAACAAAGGGAAAGUAGGCUCGGUUGGGGAUAGAGGGAGGGGCUCAGGCAGGAGUGACCUGGUUUCUAGUAGCCACAUGAACAAAUCAACAGAAACAAGGGCAGGUAAUUUUAAUAAAUUCUAUUUACUCAAGUAUAUCCUUUAAAAUAUCCUUUCAAUGUAUAAUCAUUGUAUAAAACUAUUGAGAUGUGAUACUGUCUUUUCUCCUCCAGCACAACUCAAUUCAGAUUAGCUGCACUUGAAGUGUUUAAUAGCCAAGGGACUAGGGGUGCCCACAUAGGUCAGCACAGGCCCUACAUGCUUGAUGCUUUAGUCUAUGUGGGGGCCUCUCAGGAACCUCUGACCAUGCCAAGCAAACAUGAGAAAAGGUACAGAGAUAGAUGUGUGUUGUGUACAUUGGAAGCAAAGUAAACCUUUAAGAGAAGAGAAAUGGAGAAUUCACCAGUGAGGUGAACUUGAGUUUUUCUUCUCUCUUAAUUUCCAGCCCACAUUCACAUUUAGAACAGAAAUGAACUUGCCAAGAUUCUUCAGGAAAUAGUAAGUGAUAGGCAGUGCAUUCCCCUUUUCUACUUCACUGUGUUCAGGGGUGCGUGGAUGAUACCCCUGCAUCUUUGCAGAAGAGGUGGUGUUGGAGGGCUGGGGAUUACAGCCAGUUCAUCCUCUGCCUCUGAUGGUUUCUCGCUUCACUCAUGCAGUUCAGCAACCAAAAUGGACGCUGAUAAGGUGGCGAUCAGGAAGUCACCUACCGACCAGCAGCCAAACCCAUGUCGUCAAAUCCACGUCGCCUUUACCUUUUUCUCUUCCUUAAUAAAGGUCUAAUUAAUGAUGGACUAUGACAAAAUUGGCCAUCUUAUUUUGAGGCAUAAUGGAGUUAAAUUAAGACUUAUCUACAAUGCUUGAUUUUUACAAAGGUGAUGAUGGAAAGAGAGGAGGUGGAUAGUACAGACAUGGGAAGGAAGUUGGCCCGAUAUCGACAUUUUAAUACCCGGAACUAAAUACAAAAGUGUCUGCUGUUUUAUCAAGGCCAAGGAUGCUUUUUCUACCUAGGCAGACAUUCUCUAAAUUUUAUUCAUAGGACAGUCUCUUGUGUAAAGCUGCAGAAACAAUAGAAAAUACAGCUUCUUUGUUAUCAGAGAAGCAUUAUCUAAAUAAAAUUAGCAGAUUCAAUGUUCUGAUUUGGCCUUGACUGAAAGUCAGGUGCAGAGGCGACAUGCUGAUUUUGUUGUUCUUAGCGAAUGAACUAUAGUUGAUUUCUUUUCCCUAGUUCUGGCUGUGUUACUAUUUGAGUGACCUUGAGCAAAGCACAAUGUCAGUGUCUCAGCCUUCUUAGUUAUUAGACAUGUCCUCGAAUACCUUUCACACCUCCCUCCUUAACGUUACCUUGUGAUAAGCAGGCUGAGAGUUGAGUAGUACACUGGUGUAUAUUAUAAAAAGUUGAAACAUGAGAUAAAAUGCCUCUUAAACUCCACUGUUGAUUAGAAAAACAUUUAAAGUAGUCGGAACAGCUGCGAAUCAGGCAUCCCACCUUAAUUAGAGUCAAAGAAUGUGUGCCUUCAGCUGCUUUUUAUUCUGUUUGCACAUUUACUUCCUGUAUAGCAGAAAUACAGGUGGAGUAGGUUUACACAGGGAAGAAUGUGCACGUCUGAACAACCCAGAAGGGGAAUCUUCUUUCUGUAAACAGUAUAUUCAGUACCAGAUACAGGCCCCUCUUUCAUAGCAUGACGAGACUAGGAAAUUGUUUUUUAAACCGGGAAACACACACAUGGAUUAAUGAUACCUUUCCAUGGUAGAGCAUCCAUUGAGGAAAAACUUUGACCAAUGUUGGCAUAGAAAAUCCAGCUUGUCAAUGUAACUCUUACUGAAUAGGUCACCAUCUCUUGUAGGCAGAAAAAUAGGGUGGUUAAAAACCACCCUUUGACCUCUCACCUUGAGCAGGCCUGGAAGUUAGUCCCUGGCUGUUACAGGUGACUUGGGCAGCAGGCAAAUUGGAUUUCUUUGAGGCAGGUGCAGACAGCACUACAGGACAGCACGUUUUCUGAAAUAAACCUGAAAUCAAGCUCAUUUGGGCUCACCUCAGCAACCCUGCUACCUUACAAGUUGAGAGUACACUUGUUCUCCCCAAGUUCCAUUCUUACUUGUGUCCCCUUAGGCUCGACCCGACGCCUCUUCUCUCCACCCCUGCCCCCACCCAACCAGUCAGGCACAGCUGAGAGUUUGGAUGGAGGACUCCUGAUGGACAACUCCUUAGCUGCUCCAAGGCCUGCGAGGAGUUGCCACAGAAUGGGCAAAAAUCAAAGCUUUUCCUUCCUUCUGUGAAACCUGCUACAAUUAUUAAAUUAGUAGGGGGCUGCAGUGUGAGUAUCAGGGAGAGGCCUGUCUGACUUUGGGAUAUGAGGAGUUUAAGUUUUUUGAGGGUAGAGACUAUCAUUGAUGAUAGUUUCUUCUAUUGCUCUGCAGGAUAUGUUUUCCAGCAGGUUCUUUUAAAAGGUGUGGUCGCUAAAGUGACUUCCAGCAUGGGCCCCAGAUGUUCCAUUGGAUGGGCCCUGAUUUAAAACCUAAAUUUAAGUUAAGCCCAAAAGAAAGAGCAGACUGAAACUUCAAAGAACCCAAAAUACAGCAUGUAAUUUUAUGUGCUAUAAAGGCUUAUGGGGGUGCUUCGCCCAAGUGCCAACAUCAUCUUUGGUUUAUAGGAAUAAUCUAGUCCAGCUGUCAUUACAGAUGUGGGAGGGGCAGGUUGUGACAGGUGGCUCUAGAAACCCUGUCAGAUGGGGAGGGUGUCUAGAAUGCCAACUGGCUUCUGUCCAUCUUCUAGAUGUUCCCCUUCCCAAACCUGAGUGCUGCAUUCUCAUUUCUUUCGGGGGUGUUCCCCAGUCUCGCUGGUAGACAUCAGAAUAUGGAGUGAGUUCUCCUCUCCACCUUGUGAAGCAGUGGCUCAAUGCAUCAGGCUUAUCAAGUGUUUUUAAUUCUUUAAAGUGUUUUCUCCAUCUCUGCUUUCCUUUUAGCAUUGCAAGGUUAGGGUUGCUAAUGGGCAGAAGUAAGACAACUGAUUUUCAGAGCUCAGAGCAGAAUCCAGUUCUCUGGAUGAUCAUGCUUCCUCUGUAACUAUCUUUGUGUGGAAUGUUCUGAAUCUUUUGAUAUGUCAAGAUUGAUUAAAUAACACGCAGACAUGUACAGCAAAACACUGUUUGCAAUAGCUUUGGAAUACUGUUACAUUAGUGGUAGGUUCUGAUGGACGUGUGGUAAGGAAAGAAUUUUUCUUUGCUACCUUUUAACUGCAGUAGGGAAUAAACAAAUCUGAGUUUUCCUUGUUUCGUUUUGUUUUAGUGAAAACUACCUUGUUUUGCAUUUGCGUGGGUGUUCUUAAAGUCCUACUGUUUGGCAUUUUUAUAGAAAUGACUUUCUGUGUAAUACAGGCACCCAUUGGGAGUCAAAAAUCCAUGUGGUCGUAGGAAAAAGGUCCAAGCUGGGCAUAAGAGCAGGCUGGGCAUAUAGUGUCUCCUGAUCCUCCCUAACUGGUGCUUCAUGUGCUUUGUGCCCUGGGCGAGGCUCCAGUGAGAAAACAGGUGGAUGCUAUCAGGCACAGCCUGGUCUCUUUUGCUUCAGGAAGGGAGUGGGAGUUGGUCUUUUCUGUGUUUUAGAUACUUGACAUAUUUCAAGUACAUUUUAACCUUGAGUCUUAAUUUUGAGUUUCUCACAGAUUUUCAGUGACUUCCGCAGGAAACAUACUUUUACUGGUUUUAAUAUUUGGUAGUAUAAUGUUUUUGUUGAACACUUAGUCAUUGAUGUUUAGAGUCACCUUUUUCUCCUUGUAAAAAAAAUCCUACCAAGGCCAAAUUAUCUAGAGUCGCUAUGGUAACUUUGGAGAAAUUGAGAAAGCAUGCUAGUGCAAAGACCAAUAUGCUUGACUGCAUUUAAAAUGUGGAGGAAGAAUAGCUUUGGUAUAAACAUAAGCUGAAUCUUCAUGGAAAAAGUUGAAAAGGACUAAAAGACUGGUGGCUUGAAUAGCUUUUCAUGGAAAUUUUAGCCAUCAUUUUUGUUACUAAUGACUUGAGCAUCUUUUAUUCCACAUGUUGGAGUUUCCUUGCUCUAGCCAUCUUUUGAAAAAAAUAAAAUAUUUAUUUAUUUUGAGAGAGACAGAGACAGUGCAAGUGGGAGAAGGGCAGAGAAAGAGGGAGAGAGGAUCCCAAAUAGGCUCCGUGUUGCCAGCGUAGAGCCUGACAUGGGGCUUCAACACACGAAACCGCGAGAUCUUGACCUGAGCCAAAACCAAGAGUCAGACGCUUAACCGACUGAGCCACCCAGGCACUCCUGAAAAAAAUAAAUCUUAAUUGGUUACAACCUGUACAAGAAUAGUAUCAGUUUAGAUUGAUCUGCAAGACAGUGAUUUAAAAUUUUGCCCAAUUUGUUUCCCUCUUCCCCCCAGUAUGAUUUUAUCCAUAGAAGAUUAGCUUCUAAUUUUAGUUAUAAUUCAGUCUUCCAUUAAUAUACUGCUUUACGUUGAAAUCAACUCAUAUUUCCCCCUGAAAUACAAAUUUCAUCAGUUUCAGCCCCUCUGGCACAACUAUGAGCAUAUUAGAUGCUUCUGUUUGUCUUUGACUAAGUAUUACUGAACACCUAUCAAUUAAUUAGGGAGAAGUUUCCUAAAUAUUUUCCUGGAUCCUUUGCCAACUAUCUGGAAUUUUGAUGUAUUAUUGGUCUUGGCAGCACAAAAGAGUAUUACAAUUCGAUUAAAAAAAAAAAAACAGACAUUCUCUUAGAUUGAGUGAUAUCACACGCUCAAAAGUGACAACCAUUUAAAGGAAGGUGGUAACAGAUUUGAAUGUUGUAUAAAAGAUGACUGAAUUUAAACUUUCUCCAGAAUAAUACACUAUUUUGCCCCUGUUGCCACUCUUGAUUACUUUUCCUUCUCAUACCUGUCCCAAGCACAAUUUUCUACCUGUCAGGUUGGUAAUCAUUUAACCUCUAAAUUCGCUAGAAUAUAAGAUGUUUAAUUUUUUUAGUUACUAGCAUUUAUCUUAACUGAGUGCUUACUCCAUGCCAAAUGCAGUUCUCGGCUCUGUGAACACAGUAGUGCUAUUUUUACUCCGUGUGAUGUGUGUGUGUGUGCACGCAUUGGUAUUUAGUAUUGUCAGCUUGAAGGCUGAGAGUUUGUAUCACUCUAAGACAAAAGUAUUGCUUUUUAAUAUCCUUUAUUGAGGUGGUUGUUGGCUUAGAUAUGGGUAUGUAAAUCUGAAAUUGAGGAUGUUGUAAACUGGCUGCUGAAGGAGUACAAGGGUUAGGCUCCCUCAUGUGGCAGUUUCUGUCCUCCCACUUGGCCAUCGCAACCCCAGCCAUGGUGGAGGGGGGUGGGGGAGGGGGCACGUGGAGUUCUAGGGCAGCUGGGUGCACCUUCCUGUGAUGGGGUUGGAGAGUGGAGGGCGAGGUCUUUUCUUUCUCUCGUGUCAAAAUAAUCUCAUGUUCUUAAGCAGUACUUGAUAGGAGAUUGCAGACCAGCCAAAGGGAAAUUGGGCAAAAAUCCUGAUCUCCUUCUCUGUAAUUUUGUUAAGGUAAGCCAAGAGAUCAAGAAGCAGCUUAAAAUGGAUCAGGUGAGGAGGACAUUUUUAGAAUAAUGGACAUUAUGCAGAUAUAGUAGUAUGUACCUGUGAUGGCUGGACAUACAGAAGCUAUUUUGGCUACGAAGUGUGGUCAUUACUCUGAGUAGCACCAUGCUCAUCUAAAAUCUAGAGUACUGCCUCAACCUGGCUGUGCCACCUUGCCCCGGGCCGGAUGUUGGGGCUUUGCUGUAAACAACACAGGUGGCCCACACUUGUGGCUCUCGCAAUAAACAAUUGACCAGGUUAUUUCAUUGAUGGGAAGGUUGAGGGUGCUAAGUUCGCAUGUGGCAGGGAGACCUAAACUAGUCAGAAGACGAACAAGAAUAGUAAGCUUUCAUUGAAAAGUAUGUGUUUCUGAAAUCAAACUACUAGUUGGUGGUUUAAAAGUCAAUAAUUGUAAGGUUUAAGUACAGAGGAUAUCUGCUAGCCUGUAAGAUACUCAUUAGUAACCCACUAACAUGCAUAGUUAGUCUUCCUUACAGCUGGCUUCCUUAUAAAGGAAAGACAAAGUCUCGCUAUUUGUAAUAAUUGGGGGUUGUAAGAAGCUUUAUGGUUCAUUUAUUCCUAAGAGAACCUUGCGAGGUAAUACAACUGAUUCUUGAAUUAUUUUAUGUUCUUAAAAGAGAGAUCACUUCCCCACCAUUCGUUUAUAUGCCCAAUUUUGUUCUCUUUUAAAGUAUUACCAAUCCAGCCUCCUGAUAUCAAAUAGGUUGAUUGAAAUAGCAGUCAGCUGGAUGUACAGACAUAAGAGUUGUCUUCUGCUAUCCCUGAGUGUUCACCUUUGCUUGGUGGCUGAUCUAUAAAGUAAGCAUAAAAUUUGCCCCUAGAGGUAUUGGGAAGGUAAAGGAAGAAUUUGGGGAAAAUGUGGGUCACUAAAGAUACUAGGUCCAAAAUCCUGGAACUUAUAAAUGUUAACUUAUUCAGAAAGAAAGUCUCCACAGAUGUGAUUAAGGAUCUUGACAUGGGAGAGUUUCCUGGACAAUCUGGGUGGGCCACAACUGCAAUCCUAAGUAUCCUAUAAGGAAAACAAGAAAGGCAGCCAUCUACACAGGAGGGAACUUGAGUGAUGUGGUCACAAUAAGCUUAGGUACUCAUAGUUCCCUCCUUUUUUUUUUUUAAGGAAUUAAAUUUCUUGGCUUCUAGCUGUCAUUUCAGGAUUGUUCGCCAUGUAUGUGGGCGCAGAAUGGGAAGCGCGUGGACUGAGGUCACAGGGCAUGUUUGCUAGACAUUGUGUUCUCCUGUCUGUCCUGGUGAAGGGGGGGUGGGUAACACCUCCCCUCAAGAACAGAAAGCCCAAAGCUGAACUGAAACAGUGAUUUAGAAAACACAGGUGUCCAGUGCUUUCAAAAUUCAAAAUGAUGGACCCAUCCUGAGAAGUCCUGAGUUGGGAUGGGGUAAGAAGCUAUAUUAGGCCCAAGCUAGAAAGGAGUUCCGGGCUCUGUGGAGUUGCAACAAGGCACAAGCCUGACCUCCCGUCUGUGGGUUACCCUUAUCUAGCCAUGUGACCUUGAAUGAUUACGAACCUCUUCUCAGUGUUCUCCUAAUGAAGGAAUAAUUCGCACGUCAUCGGAUGGUUGUGGGACUAGAAGUAAUAGUGGAUAUAGAAGCUGUUUUAGCAGUUUGCACACAGUUUCCUUGGGGACUGGGUGUCCAGUGUUUAUUACUUGCUAAUCGCCACUUAAAUUAUUAUAAAUGUGAGGUGAGAGGAAUGAGAAAUUCUUGUUAGUGAGUAAUUAGUGUAGUAUUCAGCAUCACAUUAUUCAUGACACUUGUUUCUUGUGUCUAUUAAUCAUAGUUAAGGUCAAACCUUUAUUCUUCUAUAGACUAUGCUCUUUAAAUAUUACUAAUUAAUAAACUCAGGGAACAAAGCAAUCUACAGUAAACACCUAUAUUUUAACUUUGGUCUAAAGUCGGAGGGUAGAAUUUAACUUAAUAAUUGCCCUACAAAAGAUUCUUUGGUUCUAAAUAACUAAAGGUCAGCUUUCUGAAAUAAAAUUCUUCUGGCCUGAACAUAUCCCAUUGUAAGGAAGGGGAAGAGAAACUGAGAUUCAAUAAUUCAUCUUUCUAGAAUCUAUCCUGUUGGUAGAAGUCAUCUUCGCGAACAGUGUGAUAAGGUUGUGUUUCAGUAAGGGAAGCAUAAAGGUACAAGGUACAUGUGGCCUCAGAGGAAAGGGUCGUAUGUUUGCCCUUUGCCUGUAACGCCAGACUAAUCCACAGCCUGUCUUAGGCAGAUUAUCCAUCUGUUAGCUUCAAAAUCAGAGGCAAAAUCUUUGCUUCCACCUUCUCCUUGUGGGUGGGUUUGGAAACGGACAGAUAAAGCUAAUAAAUACCACAUACCUUGAAAGGCCAGGCACCAGCUAGGUUUUUAUGUCUGUUGUUACAGCCAGUUCCAUAGCAGUCCUGUGAUGUAGGCAUUGCUCCCCACUUCAGUCAGGAAACCAGUGAUAAGAGGUUCUGUAAUCUUUUAAGGGUCCCAUGACUGGAAAAAAAUGGACAAAAGACUGAAAAAGACCUCCAGAUGUGAGGUCAAGCUCCCAUCCUAGCUCUUCAACUGUGUCCUAAAUACUUCUUCAGCUUGGCCUGACAGAACUUUGCUUCCCCCUACCCCCUUGUAGGGGCCAACUUGCAAACAAACAAACAAACAAACAAAAACCCCUCAUUUUACCAGUUGGACCUGUCGAUAGGAUGUUCUGGAGAAGGUACACCUGGUGGGAGCAGAAAGUCUCCUUCAUUCCAAACAGAACCCACAGUCCUUGCAGGAAGUGGCUCCUGUUUCUGUGUUCCCUGGUUUCAACCACAUGGUUUUUGACUUGUAGACGUCGCUCUUCUGUUUUCUGCCACUCGUCACGUCAUGAAGUAACUUUUUGUAGGAAAGCAUCUUUGCCCGUUAAGUAUUCUGAAAAGAAAGGGUUGAGCCCAUUAGAGGUUGCAUUAAGCUAUUAUCUUCAUGAGGAUUAUUUCUGACUCCCCUUUCUUAUCACCCCCACUCCCAUUCACACACACAGUCCUCGUAAACUCCUCACAUCCACACACUCCGCACGUCACCACCCACCUUCAAGAUGAGUCACUUCAAAAUCAGACUUUGUUAACCUGGCUGCAAGGAGAUUUCUUAGCUCUUCCCAUAUGUGUGGAGAGAGCUCCGUUGGCAAUCUCCCAUCCUAGUUCAAAUAUAUGCCUCAAACUUAAGUGUGCUAGUUGGAAAUAACACUUCGCUUUAAGCAGUAUUGUUCACUGAAACGUAAAUUGCCUUGUACCCAUUCUCAUUCUUGCAGAAAUCCUCGGAAGAAAAGAGAUUUUAUGUUGCAAGUAUUAAAGAAAAAUCCUUUCUCUGCAUCUCUCUCUCUCUCUCUUUUUUUUUUUUAAGUUUAUUUGUUUAUUUAGAGACCGGGGGAGGGGCAGAGAGGUAGAGGGAGAAGAGAAUCCCAAGCAGACUCUGCCCUGGCAGCCCAGACCCUGAUUUGGGGUAGGAACUCAGGAACACUGAGAUCAUGACCUGAGCUAAAAUCAAGAGUCCAACGCUUAACCAACUAAGCCACCCAGGUGCCCCUUAUAUCUUUUUUUGAAACACAUAACAAGACUGUAGAUGACUGAUUUAGGCAACUCUGGUCCACUAUAGAGGUUUUUAUAUCUAACAGCAAUAAAAAAAUAUUCUCAGAAAUUUUACCAUUAUGGGAUUGUUAGCAGUUUGGGGGAGGAGAGAUAACUUUGGACUUAAUUCCUGAAUUAAGAAGCUGCCAUUACCCUGAAGGCCAAUUUUCUUUUCAACUAUUCCUUUACUCACCUGUGAGCUAUGUUAAAGCAUUUAUCAAAUAGUCUUUUAAAUGUAAAAAUAAAAUGCAGUAGGAUUGAAUGUCCUGUGUUUGGAGUGCUUUUAGAGAGCAUUGGGAUUUGUAAGGGGCGAGGUAUACAUGGAGAGAAUGAAAGAUUCAGUAAUAACUGAAUAAGACCUCACAGUACCACUCACAUACAAAAAUAUGGCCUAAAGUAUAAUAGAGCCUAUAAGAUGAAAGCAAUUUUGUUGUUAUUGUUAUAAUAGCCAACAGGCGUUCUGUAUGUUUUAGGUCCUUUCAAAAUCUUCCUUUUGAAUACCACUUUAUUCCUCUUGUGACUUUGAAACAUGGCCAUUUCAUUUUUAAAAUGGUAUUGAAUUUGCGUGGCAGAAUACAUUUAAGAUGCACGAAUUACAUUCGGAAGGCUUCAGGACCAAAGGGCUGAACAGCCUUGAGCAUUUUGCUUUAAAUAUGUGAGCUUAGGGGUUGUGGGAGGGGGAAUGGGCUAAAUGCGGAAAAGGCAUUAAGGAAUCUACUCCCGAAAUCUUUGUUGCACUAUAUGCUAACUAACUUGGAUAUAAAUUUAAAAAAUAAAUAAGAAAAAAAGAAAAAAAUUAAAAGAAAAAAAGAAAAGAAAAAAAAAAGGUAUAUUCCUUAGCACCCCUGAAAGGAAAGUUCAGUAAAAGGACUGUAGUAGCAUUUGAGAUUUUUAUCUUGUAUGAUUUUAAGACCUAGCGUUCAUCACAAUUUUAAUGGCAUUAUCACAUGUCUAUCUAGUAGCAGUGAGUGUGAUGUGAGUAGUAUGUGCUUUUAAAAUGGCCUCACUUCCUCUGCUUCCACAGUUUGCUUUCUUUCUCAUACAUUGUCCUUGGUGAGUUUUAUGUCCUAUUUGUAUAGACACCAGGAGACCCAUGUUGUUGCCUGCUGCUUUUCCGAAUGGCCGGCAAUGGAUGUGUGUCUUUUACUGUUUUGCCAAAUCUUGAUAAUUCUAGUUAUAUGGGGUAUAAUGGGAGAGGCUGGGAAAAUGGAUUUUUUUUUCUCCUACUUCCUUUGUGAAAAAAAUUGAAACAAUUUAAUAGAUGUUCUGUGAGUUGUGCUGGAAUAGAGUUGGUAACAGCGUUACAGGCUUAUAGCGCCUUUCGUCUAUUUGAGAAGAUAAGCGUGUGGUGUCUCACAAGGUGUCUUACCUUUAUGUAAGGUAAGACAUGAGACAUUUUGCUCCUUGUUUCCUGACAUGCCCUUGAGCCUCCGUCAUUGGUAAAUAUGAUUCCCGUUGAUUGUUCCAUCCUUUUCCUGCUCUCGCACUGCCUCCUUCCUUCACAGUGAGCUCCUUGUGGUUCUCUGCCAAGUGUGUGUGCCUUCCAACAUGCUGUCCCCUCUGCUUCAAAUAUCUGUCCCCUUCCUUCUUGGAUCAGUAGGUCUGACAUGUCCCUGAGGACAUCUGAGUUGGGCCUUAGCUUCCAGAAGUUGACCUUGGUUUUCACUUCUUGGCCUCCCACAGCUCUGCACACAUAGUGAUUCUUCUUUGCCUCUUCUUAACCCCUGAUACACUUUUCUUACCCUUCUUGCACUGGACAGUCCUUGUUGGCUUAUUCACCAGCCGUCCUGCCCCACUCCUGUGGCCAUCCCUCACCACACACACACACACACACACACACACACACACACACACACAGCAACGUCUGCAGUGAGAGACAGCCUGUUCAUUACCUUAGUAAUAACUUCACAAGAGCAGAUUGCCAAUGAAUACCGACCAACUGUGUAAAUCUGUUGAGACUGUGAAAAAGGAUUCAGAGAAUUCUGAGAUGCCUUUGGCCCCAAUAGUUCUUUCGCGGGCUUGGGAGGUACGGCAUGUACUGGGGGAAAGUUGCUGAGUUGGUAAGUCGGCGGGCUGUAAAGUGGGCCAGGGCAGCAAGAACCUGUGGGGUGUGUUCAGUUUUACUCUCUCCUUAGUGUGAGCCUGGGAGUGGCUCAUGCCUCCUGUCCCCAGAGGGUGGAGAGCAAUCACACUGGUGGCAGAGGUCACAAACUGAGUGAAAGGGUAGCACUGGGAUAUUGCCUUGGGAUGAAUGGGAUUUCUUUAAACUGUUGGGCAGAGGGGGGAGGAGCACAAGGAAAAGAUUAGCUCUACGCAGGGACAAGGUAUUUGGGCAAAAGGUUAGAGCCCGGAUUUCCUGUUCCAGAAUCAGUAGUAGCAGGGAAGAUGCCAAGGUACGCUAGAAGCCAGUUCUGGAGAGCCUCGUCUACUAGGCUAAGAUGUUUGGGUGUUACCUUGGCGUGCAGAGAUACGUUUGAAGGAUUUCGGGUUGCAAAGUGCAGGAAGCAGACAGUUUUGGUGAUGAGAGGGGAGGGUGACUGUGGACAGAGAAAGAGGUUCUUAAAAUAAUCUAGGCAGGAACAACAAAAUAAGCGCCCUCUUGAUUCAGCCGAACUGAGUCCUGUGUGUCAGGCAAUCGGGAUUCAAAGGUAAGGAAAGUGGGGUCCCUUUGCAAGAAAAGGAUUUGAAAACAAAAUCACCUCAGUUGUCACGCUGAUUGCGAGAAAAUUGCCGCCUACAGGAAAAUGCUUGGGUGGUGAUAGGGUGGUAGUUAACAGACGUUGCAGCCAGGUUGCAGGAUGCUAAGAUAGCAAAUAGUAGAUUUGGCCUUUGUUCACGAUGAAAUGAAUUAUACCCUCUGUUCGCUAGUAGCUUCUGCCAGGAGUUUGGUCUCUUUAACUGGUUUCCCUGGCUCUUUGCUUGUCCCCCCACCUACCAUACUGUGUUCCCAGCACACUGCCAGGGCUAGCCUUUUCACUCACAAGUCCAAUCAUGUGACUUCUCUUCCCCAAACUCCACAGUGGCUCCCAUCUCAGGGUAUGAGCCAAGGUCCUCCCAGUGGUCCACAAGGCCCCCUAUCCAUUAGUGCUCUGGUCUCAACUCCUUCAUUGCCCACUCCACUCUGGCCACCCUUGCCUACUUGGUGUUGCUAAGAUCCCCCUUGAAUGCUCUCCCUUGAGGCCUCACCCCUGCAUGUCUCCACGUCACAUCUCACCUCCUUGAAGUCUGCUCAGAUAUCUCCCGACCAUCCUAUUGAAAAUUGUAACUUGUCCUCACACCCCUGCCUUGGCCCUCCCCAUACCUCUGACCCUACUCUGCCUGUUAAUGUUUGUGACUUGAAUUGAUUUCAAACCCAAUACAUCUUUUAUUACUACCAUUACUCUUACUAGUAUUGUUCGCCAUCAGACCUCUCCACAUUGCCCCACCCAUACGUAUGCUGUUUAAAGGCAGGAAUCUUCACCUGUUGUGUUAACUGGUACAUCACAAAUGCUCACAAUAGUGCCUGGUACAAAGUAGAAGUUAGUGAAUGUUCGAAUGCAUUGUGAUUUUCCUGCUAUUACUCAUAAGGCCUAGUUAACUACACUUCCCCACCCCAUAUUAAAUGGGUUUUGGUCACAGGAAGCAAUAGUUGAUCCUACCAGGAUCUAAAUUCUCUGUAUAUUUUACCCAAUUUUUUUUCUUCAAAUGACCCGUUUCCUCUGAGAUUUUGAGAGCAAAGUUUUAUGAAAUGUGUACAACAAUUAGAGAACAAAAUUUGAAGUCCACUUUUCACAUAAAAGACAGUUACUUGGCAGAAGGGUCCAAUCAUAUUAUAUCAUAGAGGAAUUGUGCUCUGCAAGGCUGAAAUGGACUUUACUAUAAAAACCUGGCAAUACUGGAAGAUAAGGUCCUCUGCUUCUGGAGCAUACAUUUCCUGGAUGCAUUUCAGUAAUGCUUAACAAUGAGCUCUGCUUCAUAACUGUCUUGAGGAAUAUCUGUUAACCCCAAAUUAGGUGUGACCUUUACCAUUCUGUUACCUCUUAAUUCUGGCGCUAAACACACACACACACACACACACACACACACACACACACACGAAACAAAAGAGAAAAUACGGCGGAGAAAUAGGCAGAGAAAGGAUAAUCGCAUAAAAGGACCACAGUUUGGGGUGGGUAUUUUUGUACUGAUUUUUGUCACCUCACCUGCUUUUCUUCUGUGCACACGCAUAUUAGAACACUCAUACGCUCUCACCUCCCUCUGCUCCUCCAUCAAAAACAAAGUUGUUGCAAGAAAUUUAGGAAAUGAUCGUAGAGAUCGUGGAGAUGUGCAGGCCUUUGGAUAACUUCAAAUUACAUAGCCUGCCAUCUUACAAGUAACUUGCAAAGGUGAGUUGGGGGCUCUUUAGAGUCUCAGAUGGAAAAAUUCCAGGAAUACUGUGUGAGUGGGUUUUUCCCACCCUCCAAAUGAGAAAGUUCCUUUUUCUGAAGAGCUGUUUCUACACCUUUUUAUUGCAUUACUCAUUUCUCAAUGGGUUUAUUAUGUGCAAGAUGGGCAAACAUUGGUUCUUGAGAGGCCAAAAAAAAAACACCCCAAUUUAUGUAUAAAGGACAUAUGUACACACAGUACAUAAACAAAUAUACAAUAUAGCUAUGGUAUUAAAAUUUCAUGGAAGGGCAAUUAGGAAAAAUCUAAAGAAAGUCCUAGGGGUGGAAGCCAUAAUUAAAAUAAUAGUUGUUACACCACACCACUCUGACCUAGACUCCUAGGCACCAGCCUAGGGCAUGAGUGGCUUGUUCUGGGCGUUCAUGGUUUUGUAUGAGGUCUGGAGGAAGUUGUUUUGAUGGUUUAGUAGUGAGCUGUGUCCAGGGGCCUAAGUCUGUAAGGAGAACAGGUGGAUCCAUUUGAUGUGUCGGGCUAUGGGUGAACAGACAGAAUUGCUCAGGUUCCCUGGAAUCCUGCAGGGCUGAGUGGAGGAUUUGCUGGACUCCCAGAGACUGGCAGGCAGGAGCAGCAUUGGGGAAUGUGAAGGGCGUUUGGAAUGUCCCACAUAAGCCACCUCCCCGAGAAGCAGCACAUCCCCUGUUCUUUUUGCUUCUGCCAUUAACGUAGGUCCCUUUGCAUUGGUCAUUUGAGCAUAGCUGAAUGCAGCAGCUGGCGGGACAGACCUGUGGCCGCCGAAGAUCAGCAGCACUACGUCAGCCGUUGUGAGGAACAGAAUGGUGGCCACACAUGGCUUGGACAUAGCUGCCUGUGCCUGUGGAAUUUCUGGAGACCACUCUUUUGAGGACUGUGGUCAUGAGCCCCCAUGAAUGUAGCUUUCUGAGGGUGAAGUGGGUUUCCUUUAGCAUCUCCGUAGAUGAAGACUGAAUUUUAAAGUUUUAUUCAGUCUGUUUCUUUAAGUUUAUUUAUUUAUUUUGAGAGAAAGAGUGGGGGAGGGGCAGAGAGGGAGGGAGAGAAAGAAUCCCAAGUAGGCUUUACACUGUCAGUUCAGAGCUCCAUCUCCUGACCCUGAGAUCGUGACUUAAGGCAAAAUCUCAAGAGUCCGAUGUUUGAUUGACUGAGCCACCCAGGUGCACCCUUUAAGUUUCUUAAAGCUUAUAUAAUUCCUUAACAUCAGGAGAGGAAAAGUUUGCCCAGACUUGCCAAGUACCUCAGACAUGGCACUUAGAGCUCAUACAGUCUGUCUCUUGGGGUUGAUUGUGAGGAGCUUGAGGGUUGAGCCUAUUACCUUCAUCUGUGUCUUUAGCACUUAGUACAGUAUAUGACAUUUGGGAAUUUUCCGUUAAAUUUUAUGAUAAGACAGUGGCCUUGUAUAUGGAAGAGGUGACUGGUAACUGAAAAUUUGAACAUCACCGAAGGACAAAUGCUGUAAUCUUCUAUUUUGGCUCAAGUCAGACUACAAAGGGUCCUUACCGUAGAGUUUAGUUGUGUACCUUAAUAUUUAUUAGGUUACUUUUAAAGAAUAUUUUCAUUAAAAAAUUCUGAGUGUCAACUAGGAAAAGAUAGAGUUGAGGGUAAAUUGCAACAUGUAAGACAAAGAUUAAUCUCCUUAAUACAUAGUCUCUUUUAAAUAAGUAAAUAAGAACAGUUAGAGCUUUUUUGCCUACAUUAAUUCAUAAUUAAUGUUUUUAAAAAGUAAGCUUAUGAAACAUAUUCAAACUCAUUAAAGAAAGGCAUUAUGAAAGCUUCCCAUUUUGCCUAUCAAAUUGACAAGGAUUAAAACCUGAUCGCUGCUGUUAGAGUGAUGGGAAACCAGUAUUCAUACCUCUUACAUGGGAGUGUAAAUAAUCUAUAAUCUUGGGGUGCCUGAGUGGCUCAGUCAGUUAAGUGUCUGACUUCGGCUCAGGUCAUGAUCUCAAGGUUCUUGAGUUCGAGCCCUGCACUGGGGUCUGGGCUGACAGCUCGGAGCCUGGAGACUGCUUCAGGUCCUCUGUUUCACUCUCUCUGUCUCUUUCCCUCCCCCACUUGCAUUCUGUCUCUCUCUGUCUCAAAAAUAAAUAAACAUGAAAAAAAAUUUAAAAAGUAAUAUAUAAUCUACUGGGAGGAUGGUUUGGCAACAAAUAUUUUUGUGACUCAGCACGUUCUUUCACAAGAAUGCUUAUUGCCACAUUUACAAAAGAGAAAUUAUAAGCAGCCUGCAUGAUGAGGAAUAAGUGACUAAUUAAAUGAGAUAAACACAAAUGAUGGAUAUUUGGUCAUUAAAAAUCAAGUUUGUGAAGUCUAAUAUUGUGUAACUGAACUAGAAUCGCAGAAAACCAUAUCUAUAGUAUAUGUUGUAUUCAGAAAAAUGUAUAUAUUUUCUUUUUUUUUUUAAUGUUUUUAUUUAUUUUUGAGACAGAGAGAGGCAGAGCAUGAGCAGGGGAGGGGCAGAGAGAGAGGGAGACACAGAAUCCAAAGUAGGCUCCAGGCUCCGUGCUGUCAGCACAGAGCCCGACACGGGGCUCGAACUCACAGACUGUGAGAUCAUGACCUGAGCCGAAGCCGGACGCUCAACCGACUGAGCCACCCAGGCGCCCCUGUAUUUUCUUAAUGUUAAUUAUAUGUAUUACUGGAUCAAAAAUUACAGUUCUUCUUGAUACUUUCCAAAUUUCCUGUUUUUAUAGUAGGGCAAUAUCACUUCCAUGAUCAGGAAAGUUAUUUGAUAAUACAAAGCACAGUCUAUGGAAGUGAGAGUGAUCUUAGGUACUUAACAGAUUACCCAUCACUAUAAUGCAUUAAUGAUGACUUUUCUUUAAGGGUCCUUCCCCAGUGGUUACACAAAGAAAAGUAGUAAAAAGCCCUUAAUGUUUACUUUAAUCACUAUUAAAUAUGUUACUAAAACAGAAACAAACAGAAGCUGCGUGGAAUUGGAGAAGGAGCAAGGACUUCUCAGGUACAUAGUCCUGGGUUGGGAUCCUGGUUGUAGCUGUGGGACCUUAGGUAUUGGACCUACAAUUUCCCCAUUUAUGAAGUGGGUGUAUUAACCAUCUCUGUCCUCUUAGGACUGUCUCGGGAAGCAGUUCGAGUAGCGUGUGGGGGACACUUAGCACAGAGUGUGACUCAGUGAACAGGUGGCUCUUCUUAGGGGGAGCAGCCUCGCGGGAGGAGUAUAGCAUUUCCUUUAAGAGAUCCAAACUUGAAAACCGUGUAUUAGGAAGUGAUUACUCCCUUUGCAAAGGAUGACUAUUGUGAUGGUGUAUUAAUUUUCUAUUACCUAAACUUAACAGCUUGAAGUGCAGACAUUUAUCAUCUAAUGGUUUCUGUGGGUCAGAAGUCUGGCCACGGCUUAACUGAAUCCUCUACCGGAGGCUGCCAUCAAGAUGGUGAGUGGGGCAGGGCACCUGGGUGGCUCAGUCAGUUAAGCAUCCGACUCUUGAUCUCAGCUCAGGACUUGAUCUCACGGUGGUGAGUUCAAGCCCUGCGUUGGGACCUGCGCUGGGCAUGAAACCUACUUUAAAAAAAAAAAAAAGAAAGAAAGAAAAGGUGGUGAGUGAGGUGGAUUCUCCUGUGGAGGCAUCUACUUCCUUGUUCAUUGGUUGUUAGCAGCAUUCAGUUUCCUGGGGUUGGAUGCAGUAUUCAUGGCAGCUUGCUUAUUCCGACCCAGGAAGUGGGAAGAGAAAGACAAGCACAGAUGCUUGUAACAGCAAGACAGAGUCUUACCUAAGUCAGUGUAAUUAUGGGGAUACCAGUCUGUUACCUUUGCCAUAUUGGUUAGAAGAAAAUCACAAGUCCCACUGGCACUUAAGAGAAGGUAAUCACGCAAACAGGUAAAUACCCUAAAGGGGGGAUCAUGUGGAGGGUUGCUUUGCUACAAAUGAUAUUGACAUGUGUUCCAUACACAGAAGUGAGUGCACUAUUUUAGAAAGUGAUUUGGUUGCGGAAAAUUCUGGCUUACAUUUUUAAUAACAUUGAUUGGAAAGCAAGAUGAAACCACCCUGUGUUUGUCUGGGUUAACUGUUAAGGGCCAAUAGUGCUGUCAUCUAUGAUUUAGAGGUUGAGGGCACUGCUCUCUUCCUUGAAAACCCUGGUUAUCUUCCCACUCAGCCUUUGGGGAUCUCAAGACUUGUUACUUUGUAAGUAAUGGGUAAUUGAAGUAUUACUUCAAAGAUGGUUUUUCUUUUCUAUAAUGCCAGACUUUCUUUUAUUAUUUCUGCACUCUUUAUAAGUACUCAUUUCAGCGAAAAUAAACUUUGCCUUGUCUCACCCAGAUUCAUUGUUAAGCGUUAAACCUUCAUUUGUUCUCUAGAUUGAAAAAAGGCAUUUGUUUUGCUUUGAACUUGGCAUUCUCAGAUGAGAAGUGUGGCAUUUUGUGUUCUCUGCUGGGCUCCCCCUCCUUGCACUAGCUCAGAGUUCUGAUUAGUCAACUCUCCUCUGUAUAUGAAAAUGUUGAUGAAUAAUGCUAAGAAUUGCAUGGGUCUCACAAAGGCCCAAAUGUGGUUGCUGUUUGAGAUAAGUAUACUGAAAUACAGAAUGUAAUGUUUUUGGAGGUACAUUUGUAAUCCAGAAGAUGAGGACGGGUGACUGAUCAUACCCACAACCAAGGGAAAAGAGGCCCUGAUGAACAUCAGAACUUCUUUCGGGCUGUGAACAGAUGUGCCAGCUGCCCCAUUAUGGUACUUCCAGUGGCUGCAGGUUGGAGUCUUGGUGACCGGACUCUGGAAUAUUUCAUAACAUGUAUUUAGGAGAGCCUAAGUGUAUGGCUGACUGACCAAACUUGGCAAGGCACUGUUAAGUCCUGCACCAUCUUACAGUGUAGAACUCCUGCAUGAGGAAACAUCAAGCCUCCCAACUCUCAUAUCAAAGAGACUGUUAGUCCUUGCUGAACGUAUUCUGAUUAUGCAUGGCAUACGUCUUAGAAUUCAGAACAGAGAGAUGCUCAGCAUUUUCUCUUCGGCCACUUGUUUAUCAGAACGCUGGAUUAGGUAACAAAUCGCUACACAUUUCCAUUCUUACUGCAAUAUUGUGUAGUGCUAACCUUUUCAGAAUAUCUUUUCUUGGUUUCAUAUCUUUUCUUGGUUGAAUGAAUGCAUCCAUGUUGUGGACUUGAGACAGUUGGUAUUAUCUCCAUUUUAUAGGUGAGGAAACUAAGCCUCAAGGAUUUGAUCUUCCAGGAUCAUGUCACACAGAAAUAGAGUCAAGGCCACCCUGUCCCAAACCUCAGAUACCUUUUAUGAAUGAACUGUGGUGAAGGGCGGGGGUCCGUUUGAAUCCCACCUCUUCUCUGUCCCAGUUCUGUGACCUUGGACUGUCACUAAUCCUCAAAGCCUCAGUUUUCUCAUGUGUGAUGUGGAGAGACUGCCUUCUCAUAGGGUUGUUAGGGUGAAAGGACAAUGAAAGCAUAGCUCCUAAACGUGGUGGGCACUCAGUUUAUGGCACCCAUUGAUAGAAUUGAUUCUGCUCUCAUUCCCACAAUUCAGGUGUUGGUUGGGCUCCCAAGCCCAUGGGAUAUAGGUAUCUGAAAUUCCAGGCCCAUAACCCACAGUCAGUGAAAGAGAGAAUGCUGGUGAAUUCCUGAAGGUUACCCUGGAUGUGGCCUGAUUUCUGGGGUCCUGGAUCAUACUCCCCUACAGGAGAGUUGCCAUGAUGUGGGGUGAGAUGCUCUGAAGGCAAGAAGAUGAGCAGAGGAUAGUGGAAAAAGUGGAAGGUGUGGCUUUUGGGCAAACUUUCAGAUUUGCUAUUCAUAUAUUAGCGAUUCAUUUAAAGGAGAAAAAGGAGUAGGGAGGUAUGAUGGGUUUUACUUCGUGUGGCAUCCAAAAAAAUUCUGAAUUCUGACCUCCUGCCAGGGAUUUGGAUUCUAAUUUGUCACUCGUACAGAUAGCACUGUCAUUACUGUGUUAACACAAGAAGCCAUCUCUUCUUACCCACUGUCAAAAUCCAUCUCGGGUACUAAGGUCGGUCAGAGAAAGACAAAUAUCCUGUGAUUUCACUCAUGUGUAGAAUUUAAGAUACAAAACAGUUGAACAUAAGGGAAGCAAAAAUAAUGUAAAAACAGGGAGGGUGGCAAAACAGAAGAGACUCUUAGAUACAGAGAACAAACUGAGGGUUGUGGGUGGGGUGUUGGGUGGGGGGAUGGGCUAAACAGGCAAUGGGCAUUAAGAAGGGCAUUUGUUGCUAUGAGCACUGGGUGUUAUAUGUAAGUGAUGAAUCACUAAAUUCUAUUCCUGAAAUUACUAUCACACUAUAUGUUAACUAACCAGGAUUUAAAUUUAAAAGCAUAAAUAUAAAAAAGAAAACCCACCAUCUCAGGUGCUAGGAGCAAAUAUCCUGCUCUAAUGAAGUCUGUGUCUUUUAUGUGUAUGCCAGGGAAGGUUGCUUCUGGAACUCCAGCAUCUGGGCCCUCAGUCCUGCCCCCUGCCCUCUGUCUGUGAAUCAGAGAGAAGCUCUACUCCUGGACUUCUGAGCAGAUGUCUUUUUUAACCGCUUUAAAAGCGUUGUUGCCCUGUAUCUGGAUCUUCUUUUACUCAUUCAAAAAUAAAACAGCUCUUUUAAGAGGAGAGAUUCCUCUGCUUUCCUGCAUGAGUUCCGAGAUGUGGUGCAGCAAAUGAACUUCUCUGAGCUCUUUUAAAUUUUGCGUCCCAUAGCAAGUUAUCUCUGCAGGUUUUUUAAAGCAUGGCACCAUAUACAUACACAUGUGCCCACCAGCAUUUAAUGAAAGGUGACAAUUUCAAGGUAAGACAGCUUGAAAGUAUUCAAAAAACUAAUCUGCUUUCUAACCUAACAUAAACUCUGGGACAAGUUGCUUAAACUUUCCAAGUUACACGUAAAAUAGGAAUAAGAAGAGCUGCUACACAAAUUUGUUCUGGAGAGCAUACGCUCUCAGUAAAACAUCAAAUGUUAAUUUACUUUAUUUAAAAGAAAAAUCCUGGAAACACUUGUUGCAGUGCAGCAUUGUCAUAACAAACUCUUUUUUCUUAAUAUAGAAACCUUAGAAAAUACAGAAAUGAGGGGCGCCUGGGUGGCUCAGUCAGUUGAGCGCCUGACUUCGGCUCAGGUCAUGAUCUCACAGUUUGUGAGUUGAAGCCCCAUGUCGGGCUCUGUGCUGACAGCUCAGGGCCUGGAGCCUGCUUUAGAUUCUGUCUCCUUCUCUCUCUGCCCCUCCCCACUUGCUCUCUGUCUCUCUCUCUCAAAAUUAAAAAAACAUUAGAAAAAUUAAAAAAAAAACAACAGAAAUGCGUAAAUGUUCAUUUCAAACUUUACCUUACAGAAAAAUAAUAAGACAUCAUGAUGUCUUUAUUCCCUGGGGUUUUUUUAACUUGAGAUACUUUUGUGUGUGAAACAUGUCAUGCCAAUAGAAGUCUGUAGAACAUACAUGCACAGCUUAAGGCUCACUAAAUAUGUGGGUACCUAUCACUCAGUUGAACAUCCAGAACAUUACCAGUUCCUAUGAACCUGUGUGCCUGACUUCAUUUAUUUCGUUUUUAAAGAUCAAGUUGGAUUUAUAUAUUUCAUGUUGUGUUCUUUUUCUUUAUCAUCUGCGUUUACCUAUAAUGUGAUCAUUUUAGGCUGGUUUUUUUUUUUUUUUUUUUUUUUUUUUUUUUUUUUUUUUUUUUUUUUUGUCUUUGGAGCUUAAAGAAGGCUCAUGGACUAUCCUUAUCUCAAUGAUAAUUAUUGCUGGUAACCUAAUAUAUGCCAGGCAUUCUGUCUAAAUGUUUAAUUUUACACUACCUUAUGAGCUGCAGUAGUUCCUCAUUUAACUAAUGGGAGAACAGACUUUCAGAAUAUUUAAGUAAAUUGCCACAUGAUCUAACAAGCAACAGAUCUGAGAAUGGAGCCCAAGUUCCUUGUCACUUCUAUUCCCACCAGCUGCCUGAUGGACUACAUAUUGGAAGUGCAAUGCACAUUGAAGGAAUUGGCCAUUAAAUGUAUUUCUGCCUAAUUCUAAGCAAGAAUUACACACAUGACUAGGCUCUAGUUUUUAGAUGGUGCUGGUGCCACAGAAACCCAAAUGGAGGCAAACUUCAACAAGAAAUGUGGGGAAAGGAUAAUUUCUUGAUAACCUAAACAGUAUCACAUGCAGAAGGUCUGCUUUUAUUUGGAGGGCCCCUUGUGUUGGGUUGUCUGGUCCUCCCCCUCUCUCCCGCUCCACCCCUAUAUUGUAGUGGACCAAAGUCUGGGCUUGUAUGUUCUAAGUUGCCCUCCUGCUGUGUUUUCUACAUCUGUGCAUCUAUAAUUACGGUGCCACCUGGGAGAGCGGCCCUCCUCCUCUCUUUGCCCAUGGAGACAUUGCCCUGUGGAGUCUAAAGAAUGAAAUGGUUGCUAUGGUUGCCGCGCGGCAACAAUGUCGAGCUCAGUUUGACUUGAAAGUCACACGCUGCUGCAUGUAGAAGGUUGGAGACUCAAUUUGGCCCAGUUACAGUUGCUUAUUAUAUUCUAUAGGUAUAGUCACUGUGGCAUCCUUGGCUGUACUCUGUGACCUCUAAGAUGUGUAUAGAAAUAGAAUGUGAAUAAAAGACUGUGUCUGUUGAGGUAGGAAAGCCUCUCUCCCAUAAAUAACUUUUAGCUCUCGCGUGAUGUGAUACAGCUCUCGUUAAGUUUAGUGAGGCAGCCGUGGUUCCACUUGCCCAGGCGUUCAUUUCUUCAAGCCUCACCUUCAUCCUCAAUACCGUCUCUUUUUGAGGUAUGGGAAUUUACUGCCUGGGACCAGUGAAUAGCAAAACCCUAUUAGGAUUUUUUCAAAUGGCCGUUAAAUGCCAACAGCUAUCACCGCUUGCUGAGGACAAUAAAAGGAGUGGAGUAAGGUGGUCACCAUUAGACAAACACAUUU